AAUAAAUACAGUUGUGGAUUCCAUGUCCAACAUUUGACACAUCCAUCUUAUUUGAAAAAAAAAUAUGAUUAGUACUUUUAUUAGUGUUAUAUGAUAAAACAUGAAUAAUACUUUAUGUGUGACUAUUUUAUUUUAAUUUUUCAUAAAUUUUUUAAAUAAGACGGACGGUUAAACGUUGAACCCGGAAACCCACAAUUUCACUUAUU
rfam:Oryza barthii chromosome 3, whole genome shotgun sequence.